rnacentral:lncRNA from 1 species
AUCACUUUCAUCUACUUCAAUUCCACCAUCUUUGUCAUCAUCCAUUUGCUUAUGGAUCAUGCGAAGAGCUUCCAGGCUGAACCGGUCCUCCUCAGUAAAGCACGGUGGGCUGAGAGAACUGCAGGGAUCUGUCACAACCGCCGCGCUGUCCGCCGCAGAGGAAGACGAGGAAGAGGCGGUGGUGCUUCCUCGCGCUCCCCGCCGCCCGCCGGGCACGUCCGCAGCCUCCAGCUCGCAUUCCGCAGCGGCGGCGCCGACCAGCAGCAGCCCCAGCAGAAGCAGGCAGCCCGGCGCCGCGGGGACGCCGCGGGGCGCUCGGAGCCCGCUCAUCGCUAUACCGCUGCGAGAGGCGCAGGGGGAGGGAGGGAGGAAGGAAGGAAGGAAAGGGCUGGAGCCGCUCCGCUACCCGCGCCGCAGUCGCCGCCGCACCGCUCGCCGG